rnacentral:rRNA from 1 species
GUUGCACGAGUUCAGACUCGUAGCAGAUAGCUCAGUAACACGUGGCCAAACUACCCUAUGGAUCCGAAUAACCUCGGGAAACUGAGGCUAAUGCGGAAUAGCGUUCAUCGCCUGGAGUGGCACGAACGCGAAACGUUACGGCGCCAUAGGAUGUGGCUGCGGCCGAUUAGGUAGACGGUGGGGUAACGGCCCACCGUGCCCAUAAUCGGUACGGGUUGUGAGAGCAAGAGCCCGGAGACGGUAUCUGAGACAAGAUACCGGGCCCUACGGGGCGCAGCAGGCGCGAAACCUUUACACUGCACGCGAGUGCGAUAAGGGGACUCCGAGUGCGAGGGCAUAUAGUCCUCGCUUUUCACGACCGUAAGGUGGUCGUAGAAUAAGUGCUGGGCAAGACCGGUGCCAGCCGCCGCGGUAAUACCGGCAGCACGAGUGAUGACCGCUAUUAUUGGGCCUAAAGCGUCCGUAGCUGGCCACGCAAGUCUAUCGGGAAAUCCGCGCGCUUAACGCGCGGGCGUCCGGUGGAAACUGCGUGGCUUGGGACCGGAAGACCAGAGGGGUACGUCCGGGGUAGGAGUGAAAUCCCGUAAUCCUGGACGGACCACCGGUGGCGAAAGCGCCUCUGGAAGACGGAUCCGACGGUGAGGGACGAAAGCUCGGGUCACGAACCGGAUUAGAUACCCGGGUAGUCCGAGCUGUAAACGAUGUCUGCUAGGUGUGGCACAGGCUACGA